GCUUCUUUGGCUCAGUUGGUAGAGCGUUGGUCUCAUAGUCCAUCUAUGAUCGCUUAAGUAAGCGAGUAAUCCAAAGGUCGCAAGUUCGAGCCUUGCAAGGAGCA